GACGAACGCUGGCGGCGUGCUUAACACAUGCAAGUCGAACGGAAAGGCCCUGCUUUUGUGGGGUGCUCGAGUGGCGAACGGGUGGGUAACACGUGAGUAACCUGCCCUUGACUUUGGGAUAACUUCAGGAAACUGGGGCUAAUACCGGAUAGGAGCUCCUGCUGCAUGGUGGGGGUUGGAAAGUUUCGGCGGUUGGGGAUGGACUCGCGGCUUAUCAGCUUGUUGGUGGGGUAGUGGCUUACCAAGGCUUUGACGGGUAGCCGGCCUGAGAGGGUGACCGGCCACAUUGGGACUGAGAUACGGCCCAGACUCCUACGGGAGGCAGCAGUGGGGAAUAUUGCACAAUGGGCGGAAGCCUGAUGCAGCAACGCCGCGUGCGGGAUGACGGCCUUCGGGUUGUAAACCGCUUUCGCCUGUGACGCAGCGUGAGUGACGGUAAUGGGUAAAGAAGCACCGGCUAACUACGUG
rnacentral:rRNA from 1 species